UGGGUAUAUACCCAAAGGACUAUAAAUCAUGCUGUUAUAAAGACACAUGCACACGUACGUUUAUUGUGGCACUAUUCACAAUAGCAAAGACUUGGAAUUAACCCAAGUGUCCAACAAUGAUAGACUGGAUUAAGAAAAUGUGGUACAUAUACACCAUGGAAUACUAUGCAGCCAUAAAAAAUGAUGAGUUCACGUCCUUUGUAGGGACAUGGAUGAAAUUGGAAGUCAUCAUUCUCAGUAAACUAUCAGAAGGACAAAAACCAAACACCCCAUGUUCUCAUUCAUAGAUGGGAAUUGAAUAAUGAGAACACAUGGACACAGGAAGGGGAA
rnacentral:lncRNA from 1 species